GCAUUUUGCAUCCAUUAAAUUGGAAUUGUUUUAACCCAAAUAAUAUUUCAAAUGUGAUGUUCAGGUGUUUCAUCAGUAAGCACCUAAAAGAAAUAUUUGUUUCAGAUUUUUGUCUACACAUGUUGAAAAAGACCAGGUUCAGUCUUACCCAUCAACGUGUCAUUGAUAUGCAAAAAUGUGUGCAUAGCACAGACUAAUAUAUUGCUUUUGUUUAUACUGCAUUUACCCCUCUGCAUAUCAUGUUUUUAAAAUAGCUAUUUGCAACUGACUUAUUUUGAUUUGGCAAUGAAGCUUGUCUUGAAGUAAUCAGCAAUUUCUUUGCAUACAGUUAAAUAUUGGUAGUUGUAGUGUCACUGAUUUAUGGAGAAUGGAGACAUCGGAAAUUGCAGGCUACAAUUGAAUAUGUAGACAUGUAGUUGCUUAAAGAUUUCUUAUAGCCCUUCCGAAUUUCAGUUUCUUCUCACAUACAAGAGCAGACCAAUAGAAACUAUCUGUUUGAGCACUGUCCUCUUUUGUAUGAAUAAUUGUUUGAUAUAUUUUACUAGAGUGAACUGUAUGGUAUCUCACUAUUGUAACUCCCUUUCUUCUCCCUGCUAUUGUACAGAGUGAUUUCGGUUGAGGAAUGGUUACGAUUUAUUUUUUGAUAGUGCUAUAUUUAAAAAACAAAAAAGUUAAGAGAUAUAGAAGAAUCAUGUAGUCUUUUAUUCGUAAUGAAUUAUAAUAUAUUUUGAAUGCUAAAGUUUAUUUGAAUGAUCACUAUGGCAUCUUAUAUUUUCCUGCCAACAAAGGAGAUAUUAUGUAUACUUGUGAGUAGGAGCCAGAAAAUACCAAUGUCAGCAAUUCUCAAGAGGUAAAUACCAUAUAAGCACGGUGCUCUGCAGGAAAAUCCUACUCCAUACACUGCCAAGACUGGACCAAUCAAGAAGGUAGCAACUAGAGCAACUUUUUUUGUUUAAUCUGGUUUCUUCAUUGCUUCAUCCAUGCUCUAACAUAUGUCAGUUCUUUUAUGUUGUAGCAUCCUCAUAAUAUU